CCCUUAGAUGUUCUGGGCCGCACGCGCGCUACACUGAUGCAUGCAACGAGUUCUACCCUGAGCCGGAAGGCUUGGGUAAUCUGUGAACGUGCAUCGUGAUAGGGAUAGAUUAUUGCAAUUAUUAAUCUUGAACGAGGAAUUCCUAGUAAACGCAAGUCAUCAGCUUGCAUUGAUUACGUCCCUGCCCUUUGUACACACCGCCCGUCGCACCUACCGAUUGAAUGGUCCGGUGAAGCCUCCGGAUUGGCGCGCACCUCGGUGCCGCCGAGAAGUUGGCUAAACCUUACCAUUUAGAGGAAGGUGAAGUCGUAACA
rnacentral:rRNA from 1 species